UGGGGAAUCUUGCGCAAUGGCCGAAAGGCUGACGCAGCGACGCCGCGUGUGGGAUGACGCCUUUCGGGGUGUAAACCACUGUUGCCCGGGACGAACGUCUCCUUUCGAGGAGAGUGACGGUACCGGGUGAGGAAGCACCGGCUAACUCCGUGCCAGCAGCCGCGGUAAUACGGAGGGUGCGAGCGUUGUCCGGAAUCACUGGGCGUAAAGGGCGCGUAGGCGGUUGGGGCAGUCUGUGGUGAAAGCCCGAGGCUCAACUUCGGGUCGGCCAUGGAUACUCCUCGACUUGAGCACUGUAGAGGCAGGUGGAAUUCCGGGUGUAGCGGUGGAAUGCGUAGAGAUCCGGAAGAACACCGGUGGCGAAGGCGGCCUGCUGGGCAGUAGCUGACGCUGAGGCGCGACAGCGUGGGGAGCAAACAGGAUUAGAUACCCGCGUAGUCC
rnacentral:rRNA from 1 species